UACGUAGGGGGCUAGCGUUGUCCGGAAUCAUUGGGCGUAAAGCGCGUGUAGGCGGUUCGGUAAGUCCGCUGUGAAAGUCGGGGGCUCAACCCUCGGAUGCCGGUGGAUACUGUCGGGCUUGAGUACGGAAGAGGCGAGUGGAAUUCCUGGUGUAGCGGUGAAAUGCGCAGAUAUCAGGAGGAACACCAAUUGCGAAGGCAGCUCGCUGGGACGUUACUGACGCUGAGACGCGAAAACGUGGGGAGCAAACAGG
rnacentral:rRNA from 1 species